UCUGAUGUGAAUUGAUUUAUGUUUGGAUACUCUCACUUAAAAUGAUUUUUAUGGGUUGAUGUUGUUUGGAUAA
rnacentral:pre_miRNA from 1 species